UGGGGAAUAUUGCACAAUGGGCGCAAGCCUGAUGCAGCAACGCCGCGUGAACGAUGAAGGUCUUCGGAUCGUAAAGUUCUGUUGCAGGGGAAGAUAAUGACGGUACCCGGGGAGGAAGCCCCGGCGAACUACGUGCCAGCAGCCGCGGUAAUACGUAGGGGGCUAGCGUUAUCCGGAUUUACUGGGCGUAAAGGGUGCGUAGGUGGUCUUUCAAGUCGGUGGUUAAAGGCUACGGCUCAACCGUAGUUAGCCUCCGAAACUGGAAGACUUGAGUGCAGGAGAGGAAAGUGGAAUUCCCAGUGUAGCGGUGAAAUGCGUAGAUAUUGGGAGGAACACCAGUAGCGAAGGCGGCUUUCUGGACUGCAACUGACACUGAGGCACGAAAGCGUGGGUAGCAAACAGG
rnacentral:rRNA from 1 species